rnacentral:rRNA from 1 species
GAUUAGCUAGUAGGUGGGGUAACGGCUCACCUAGGCGACGAUCCCUAGCUGGUCUGAGAGGAUGACCAGCCACACUGGAACUGAGACACGGUCCAGACCCCUACGGGAGGCAGCAGUGGGGAAUAUUGCACAAUGGGCGCAAGCCUGAUGCAGCCAUGCCGCGUGUGUGAAGAAGGCCUUCGGGUUGUAAAGCACUUUCAGCGGGGAGGAAGGCGGUGAGGUAAUAACUCAUCGAAGACGUACCCGCAGAAGAAG